rnacentral:rRNA from 1 species
GACGAACGCUGGCGGUGCGCUUAACACAUGCAAGUCGAGCGAAGCGGCGGACGGGUGAGUAACACGUGAGUAACCUGCCUUUGACAUUGGGAUAGCCUCGGGAAACUGGGAUUAAUACCAAAUGGUCAAAGAUGGACUCGCGGCUGAUUAGCUAGUUGGUGAGGUAACGGCCCACCAAGGCGACGAUCAGUAGCCGGCCUGAGAGGGUGAUCGGCCACAUUGGAACUGCGACACGGUCCAAACUCUACGGGAGGCAGCAGUGGGGAAUAUUGCACAAUGGGGGAAACCCUGAUGCAGCAACGCCGCGUGCGGGAUGACGGCCUUCGGGUUGUAAACCGCUUUCAGCCAUGACGCGGUAGUGGCAGAAGAAGCACCGGCUAACUACGUGCCAGCAGCCGCGGUAAUAC